rnacentral:rRNA from 1 species
CUACGGGGUGCAGCAGUGGGGAAUAUUGCACAAUGGAGGAAACUCUGAUGCAGCGAUGCCGCGUGAAGGAUGAAGUAUUUCGGUAUGUAAACUUCUAUCAGCGAGGAAGAAAAUGACAGUACUCGAGUAAGCAGCCCCGGCUAACUACGUGCCAGCAGCCGCGGUAAUACGUAGGGGGCGAGCGUUAUCCGGAAUUACUGGGUGUAAAGGGUGCGUAGGCGGCCGGACAAGUCAGCUGUGAAACCCUUGGGCUCAACCCAAGGCUUGCAGUUGAAACUAUCUGGCUAGAGUACAGGAGAGGAAAGCGGAAUUUCUAGUGUAGCGGUGAAAUGCGUAGAUAUUAGGAAGGACACCGGUGGCGAAGGCGGCUUUCUGGACUGAAACUGACGCUGAGGCACGAAAGCGUGGGGAGCAAACAGGAUUAGAUACCCCAGUAGUC